rnacentral:rRNA from 1 species
GACGAACGCUGGCGGCGUGCCUAAUACAUGCAAGUAGAACGCUGAAGGAGGAGCUUGCUUCUCUGGAUGAGUUGCGAACGGGUGAGUAACGCGUAGGUAACCUGCCUGGUAGCGGGGGAUAACUAUUGGAAACGAUAGCUAAUACCGCAUAACAGUAGAUAUCGCAUGAUAUCUACUUGAAAGGUGCAAUUGCAUCACUACCAGAUGGACCUGCGUUGUAUUAGCUAGUUGGUGAGGUAACGGCUCACCAAGGCGACGAUACAUAGCCGACCUGAGAGGGUGAUCGGCCACACUGGGACUGAGACACGGCCCAGACUCCUACGGGAGGCAGCAGUAGGGAAUCUUCGGCAAUGGACGGAAGUCUGACCGAGCAACGCCGCGUGAGUGAAGAAGGGUGUCGGAUCGUAAAGCUCAGUUGUAAGAGAAGAACGAGUGUGAGAGUGGAAAGUUCACACUGUGACGGUAUCUUACCAGAAAGGGACGGCUAACUACGUG